ensembl:lncRNA
UGAUUUCAUUUUCAUGAGGUAAAGCUGGAGAAACCCUGGCCGUGAAAGGAGCACGGAGGUUCAGGAGUUUGGUGGACAUGGGGACAUAACGGCAGGUUCGGACAGUUCAUGCUCUUGGGUUGCAUUACCAAGAGUGAAUGAUUCAUGAGUUUGACUGUUUGUUAAAGUCAGGACGUUUCAGCUUCACAGAUUCAUUCGCGUCAGUACGGGACUAACCUGCUCCAGUACCUCAUCGUUAUAAAUACUCAUCGAUCUUUGAGCACAGAUGUUCAUUUUUAUUCACAUGGGUUUACUAUAGGUUACUUUAGGCCGUACAUAUUUUGGCAGGUGAAUAACAGGUGGCAGCAUCAGGUGAAGUAGAGGCGGCUCAGCCUGUUGGCGCUCUCGAUGUUGAUGGAACAUGGCGACACGGCGAACGCCCACGCUGGCACUGAACCAACCCCGCACCCCGGGCUCCUCCCUCACGCGCCCGCUUAAGGCUGAGACGACUUACGGUCUUCAUUUUACAGGCUUUGCGUUUUGUACGUAUUUACUCUGCAGACCGGCCCCUGACAGCAUGUGUGACAGAGUCCAUGAACAUCUGUCCUGCCCACAGCAAUCUGUAAGUGCUCUGCUGUGGCUGCUGUGUAGUUUGUUUGAUUCAUCAUUACAUUGGACCUCAGGGUUCGUUAGAUUAACUUUUCUUUAAAGAGGGCCUUCACUGAAUAAAAAAAAAAAAAGAUGUCUCCCUUAUCUGACCAUUUUACCCAUUGGCAGCUGGGAGAACACGACUCGGGGUGGGAGGCAGCCUUCCGUCAAUUUGACAAUGUGGCUGUUGCAGAUGAGCCGUAUCUACAAGUGCCGGUGCUGUUUGCUUCUUCUUUUAUAUGCUGACAUUUGUCUUCUUGCUCUCCCUAAAAAUGUCAAGGAUUCUUAACACUGGUGAAACCUUCCAAAUGGCAACACCGAGGUGGCGUGUGGGGUAACUAAUACAGGCGGUUCUCACCACGGAGGAGCUUACAAACGAAGGGCAGUCAAGCAGAAAGGGAAGUGGUUGAAACACAAUGACACUGUGCUCGGUCAAAUAAGGAGUAAGCGGGAUCCACGGCCUCCUCUUCAGACCCUUUGUGACUGUGGAUCACACAGACAAGACUCGGUUAAUUGGGUUCCUCGCACAAACCAGCAUCUGCAACACAAACUGUUAGAACAAUGCAGUCGGCAUCACCUUGUGUCAGAUCAUAGAGGAGAACAACACAGCUCUUACUUUUUACAGUAGCAUCCACUGUCCGCUAACCUCCCCUGGUGAUGAGCAAUCUGCUAACCUCCCCUGGUGAUGAGCAAUCUGCAGCCUUCCUGAGUACGGACUUGAAGACGGCCACACUGCCAUCCGCUCCCAGCUCGCUGUGAAGAAGGAUGCCACAAAACAAAACCACAAAAGACUCCUGGCCACCUUCUCACCUGAAGAGAGGCUACACAAGGGUGUGUGUAUCACCACAGGAUUGAAGGAGGUUGACUUCGAGAAAGUGAGACUGGACAAAGUCCUCUGGAGCGACGUGAAUACAGCGACAUCCUUUCGAUGGGACUUCAGGCACUUGAAGCAGCUUCCUGGAAUGGUUGCAAAGAAACCGUCCACGUGUUCGCUUCCUGCUUAACGUCGAUAGUGACAAACAACGUGGUUGUCAAUCUCCUAAAGCCUCGAGGACAAUACUGGAAACAAGCACCUCCUUACUGGCCACCUGAUUCAGAGUGUUGGACCUAUUAGAGAGAGCCUUGUAAUAGGUGCUAUAUUCCAUUUCAGGUGGAGGAAUAUUGGGGUGAAGACAGCAGGACUGAACGUUCCUUUCAGAAUUACAGUUGAAUAUGGACCCUGCUUUUAUAGAGAAGUUCUGCUUGUUCAGAGGAUCCUUUCCAUCUCAGCUGUAUUACACCUGGCACCAAGUGAAUGACCCAAAUCUGGAAGUCAGACCCCGAUUCUAAUCUACAGGUGGUGACACUAAUAUUUCCUCAGUGGUCACUAUACACGGUAACGAAAAAAAAGCUUUCCUUCUUUGGUCAAAAAGUGUUCAUAUGUUUAAAUGGCAUUAAUAUUGAGAACAAAUAUUUUUGAAUUUUUCAGUUAUUUAAAAAAGUGAAUCAGUUAAUGAAAAUUCAUAUAUUUGUGUGAUUCCGGACGCACACACGCUGCUCUUCUUCAGUGGUUUCAGGCUGCUGCUCUACGAGGGGCAAUUUACACUCCUGAAACCCUGAAAAUGAAUAAAUGUAUGUGUAUUUUUUAUCCUAUGUUAAAUCUGACUUAACAUAUAGCUAAAAGUAAGUCAUAUGCAGGUCAAAAGUGAUAUUGGUGGGCUUGAGAGUGUAGUCAAUACUAGUCAAUUUUGUAUUAAAGGUUUUCUGUUUUUAAUUAUUUUUAGGUAACUCGCAGGUCGGACUGGAUUUUGAGAAAGAAGGAAGAUGCAUCCAUGCAUCCCUGCAUUGUGCUUUUUAAUUGUUCAGUUGAACGAUGAUAUCCAACCAAUUCAGUCGCUUUUAAAGGGCCAACGUGGUGCUUCAACCAGAGGCCAGAUCACAGUUAUGCACACUCACAACUAUCUACACGCACGAUGUGUCAUUUUAUUUCAUUUUGAUCUGUUUCCUGUGGUUGGAAUGAUACUCUUUAUUAUAGAAUGCGUUUUUUUGGUUUUAUUUCAUGUCUCUGUAUCGAGAUAAUUAACCUGCACUGGAAUAAAUGUAAUGUGUGAG